rnacentral:lncRNA from 1 species
UUUGUACCAACAUUGACAGCACUGAUCUUAGAAGAUCAUGCUUAUUUUGUACCAACAUUGACAGCCCUGAAGUUAGAAGACCAUGCUUAUAGCAUACAUGUGGAGGAAAUAACGCCUCAUCAGUUUGCAGAGGAAACCGGCAAUUUGACUGGAAUUAUGACCAACCACACAUAUACAGAACCAGAAUAUCAUAUUUCUUUCCAACAGCACCAAAGGACAACAGACAGAUUGAAGAUAGAAAUGAUGAGUAUUUUUAUGCAUUCCAUGAUGACGACGACCAAAGAUACAUAUAAUGUUUUAACUGUCCCUUGUGUUUCACAAGUCACUAAGUUUUCAUACGUGUUCAAGAGAAGGUUCA